rnacentral:rRNA from 1 species
AACGAACGCUGGCGGCAUGCCUAACACAUGCAAGUCGAACGAGACCUUCGGGUCUAGUGGCGCACGGGUGCGUAACGCGUGGGAACCUGCCCUUAGGUUCGGAAUAACUCCCCGAAAGGGGUGCUAAUACCGGAUAAUGUCUUCGGACCAAAGAUUUAUCGCCUUUGGAUGGGCCCGCGUUGGAUUAGCUAGUUGGUAGGGUAAAAGCCUACCAAGGCGACGAUCCAUAGCUGGUCUGAGAGGAUGAUCAGCCACACUGGGACUGAGACACGGCCCAGACUCCUACGGGAGGCAGCAGUGGGGAAUAUUGGACAACGGGCGAAAGCCUGAUCCAGCAAUGCCGCGUGAGUGAUGAAGGCCUUAGGGUUGUAAAGCUCUUUUACCCGGGAUGAUAAUGACAGUACCGGGAGAAUAAGCACCGGCUAACUCCGUG